AUGGAUGGACGAGCUCCCCUUCGAGCCUGCAGGUUCACCCACAGCCGGGCAAGAGGAAGAGAUAGAGGGCCCUCGCGCUCGGCAGCUUCCAGAGAAGCAGCGGCGGAGGUAGGAUCAGUAGGAGCUCACAUUCACCAUCCUCGUGGGCCAGUCCCCGGGAACGUGGCGCCCAAGUUCACCCGCGGCUCAGGCUCAAAGCACCGAAUCGCAGCCGCAGCAGCUGCCGCCGCCUCCAGCCUGCCCGUCCCCCUCUUCCUGCUCCUUCACCACCCACUCCUCCGCCGCCGCUACUGCCUCUUGCUUCUGCGGGAAGGGCCUCGGCCGCUCCUCGCUCUCUCGCCUCUGCUUCUCCUACCCUCCUCUCGUCGCUCCCCUCCAGAACGUUCAUCCGUGAUCUACAUAACUCCUCCUUCCUGGGGUCUGCCUGGCUCUCAGGCCCUGGGCACCCAAGAACCUGGGCGGCUCCAUCCUUUCAUCUCUCUCACCCUUCUUGGAGCAAUAGAAACAAGUGUGCCCCUCCCCUGGAGACUGGGUGGGGCUCAGGCUGCGGACCCUGGUGUAGGCUGGGGAGCAGCCCAGGCCUGGUCCUGGAGGGCAACUGCCGUCCUCGGUUUGACUGGAUCUGAAAAAUCAAACAUAAAGCAGGAAGAAAAUGCCCACUUUCCAAAGAUAUUCUCUCCGGUGGACACACGUACAAACUGGAACCCAGGAGAGGUAGUCUGGACGUUAACAAAACAUCGGGCCAGAGAGGGUGAGGCCACAGCAAAGAAACGUUCAGGCGGAGCCAGGAGGAAGGGCUGGGGAAGAAAGGAGAGGCAGCUGCCUGAGGAAAGGCGAGUAAGGCAGCUGGCAAGGGCGGGAGGAAGAGGCUGCACGCCGACCGAGCGGGGGAGAGGCUGGCGGGCUGGCGGGAGCGAGGAGAGCUGCAGGCAAGAGGAGGAGGCUUCUGGCAGAGGAACUUCAGAAGGGACUGCCAAAAAGGACUCGAGCCUCAGCAGUGUGAGGCAGUGGACAGGAGUGGCAGCAACCACCAGCCCUUGGCAGGUGAUGGUUUGGCUGAAAGAGAAAGGGGGAAGGGAGACAGCCAGGCAUCUGUUUGGGGGCCAUGCCAAUAAAUGUGCUUCUCCUUGGCAGCCAGCAGAGGGGAAGAGGAACCCACGGGAAAGAAACGCAGGCGAGGCUGAGAAUAAAGGCUGCUCUAGGUCCAGGAUGCCUAUGAUUACACCUCUACACCAUGGCAUCUCUUCGGGUUUUGCAGUCAUGCCCUCUUUGACAUGGUGACCAGGGUCAAACAGAAUAAAAAUCCUGGAAUAUCAGCAACAUAUGAAUAAAUGAAAGUAUAAAUGUGUGUUAGCCAAGAGGAAAAGGGGAUCAUAAUAUAUUUAUAGGUAAUUGACUUAUUACAUUUCCUCAAUAUUAAUAAAUUUUAUUUUAAAAGAAUAGCAUGGGGAGUUCC